rnacentral:rRNA from 1 species
AUUGAACGCUGGCGGCAGGCCUAACACAUGCAAGUCGAACGAGUGGCGGACUGGUGAGUAAUGUCUGGGCCACUGCCUGAUGGAGGGGGAUCACUACGGGAAACGGUAGCUAAUACCGCAUACCAUCACUUGUGCCCAGUUGGGUUUAGCUAGUUGGUGGGGUAACGGCGCACCAAGGCGACGAUCCCUAGCUGGGCUGAGAGGAUGACCAGCCACACUGGAACUGAGACACGGUCCAGACUCCUACGGGAGGCAGCAGUGGGGAAUAUUGCACAAUGGGCGAAAGCCUGAUGCAGCCAUGCCGCGUGUGUGAAGAAGGCCUUCGGGUUGUAAAGUACUUUCGGCAGGGAAGCGGUACCCGCAGAAGAAGCACCGGCUAACUCCGUGCCAGCAGCCGCGGUAAUAC